rnacentral:rRNA from 1 species
UACGUAGGGUGCAAGCGUUGUCCGGAAUUAUUGGGCGUAAAGAGUUCGUAGGCGGUUUGUCGCGUCCGUUGUGAAAGCUUGGGGCUCAACCCCAAGUCUGCAGUGGAUACUGGCAGACUAGAGUCAGGUAGGGGAGAACGGAAUUCCUGGUGUAGCGGUGAAAUGCGCAGAUAUCAGGAGGAACACCGGUGGCGAAGGCGGUUCUCUGGGCCUGUACUGACGCUGAGGAACGAAAGCGUGGGGAGCGAACAGG